GUCAUGCGACAUUUAUUUUAUUGAUUUUACAAAUUUCGACGGGCACAGCAAGGAAAUUGGUAUGGACCGGGUUUAUCGUGCAAUGGAACAAAGUCCAAGCAUCUUAACGGUUAGUUUUGAAUAUUCUAACAAAUGUUUGUUAAGUUUCGUAAAAGAUUAUUAGAUCGUAUCGAAAUUUAUUUUUAAGAAUGACAAUCUCUUGUAUUAACUAGUUGUGAUAGGAGACAUUUUAAAUUGCUCAGAUGUACGACCUUUGCAUUUAUUAUACAUGCAUAUGAACUUACAUACAUACGUGCAUACAUACAUACAAUGUAUGCAUAAUGUAGUCUUGUCCUCAUUAACAAAAAGUGUCACAGAUAGCAGGACGACACGCUGUAACACUAUAGGCUGUAAUUAAUAUAAGUCUAGUAUUAAUUAUUAAGUUUUAAAAUAGGACAGUUUUUUAGAGUUUCUGUUACAACAUUAAGAGAUUGAACCUUGUUUGCAUAUUAAUUAAUAAAGAAUGCAUUUCACAAAGUCCUUCGCGCACGGUUGCAGUUGUUGUUAAGGAUUUUAUUGAGAAUUACUUUCUAUAAAGAUUGAUCGGAGGACAAUUUCUAUUACACGUUGCAAAUAUUAUAUAGUUAUAAAUGGAUUUUCUCGAUCAGAGUGUGUCACAGAGAGAUUGUCAUCAGAAUUUCGCGAUGCACUUGCGGAAAGAUACGCGAGAGAAAGUUGCUUCAAAGUAGUACAUACUUGUAUUACUAUUCUGCUAACACAAAAUUGCAAAUUCUUUUCUUCUACAUAUUUCAUUAAAAAAAUAUCCAGUAUCAUAGAAGUUAGCGUUUAAAAAUGUUGUUAUCGCUAUGUAUUUCAUUUUGUUAUCUUUAAAUUUGCAUUGUCUCGUGAAAAACGGAUGUUCUGCAGAGCAAUGCAAAAAAACACGACACUUAUUCUUAGUUGCAAAACCACUGCGGUUGGAUAUGGGCGUUGAACUUGUCCAUUGGUUAAUAAUAGACAUUGCGUCGCAGAAUUUCUAUUCAGAAGUUACCUGUAUGUGCAAACCCUAGGAAAUUGCGGAAUCAAUCAAAUGAAAAUGUUUCAUUCUUUGCCAAAAUAAUUUCUUAUUUAAAAAUGUAUAACAUUCAUUUUCUCUUUACAUAUUAGAACAAGCUUUUUAUCAAUGAUUUAAAAUGUAAAUAAACGAAUAAUCUCUUCCAAUCAUACGCUUAUAUCCUUUUUCGUUACAUAGACUCAGAAACAAGCAGAAAUAUUGACCGACUGUGUAAUUACGUAAGUGGUCAUAUUUCGUCAGAUUGUAUCCAUUUCUGAGAAUGAAUCGAUAACUUCGUAAAAGCCAAUCUAUAAAACCAAAAAUCCUCAGAACGAAAUAGUAAUACAACAUAUUGGUCGUCACUUUUGUAUCUUUUCUGUAUUUAUUAAUAUUAGAUCAUACAUAUAUGUAGAUGUUCUUUGAUAUGCAGAAGUGACAAAGAAGGACGGGACUCGCCGUGAGAGAACGCUUCUGCUACUCGACCGUUCACUUUUUCUAAAAUUGGUCACAGACGGUCGGUUCUCGCGUAAGGAAAGCGGUAAAUCGUGACGAUUCUCUUCUCUAGAGAACUUACAGGGUGGGGCACAGAGUAUUCCCUCUGGGAAUAACUCCUUUGUAUGACGUGCACGCAAAAAUUACGUUGUUCCCUGAGAGAACUCUGAACUGAUUUUGUUGAUGUUUUUAGAGCAUAAUAGCAAUUUUUAAAGCAUUAUAUAAGCAUAAAAUUUCAAAUAACAACGUAUAACUCGUGUUGUUUGUAAUCAGGGAAAUUUUAUGCGACUGAAAUGUUUGAACAAUUAGCGUCUUCAUAAAUUAAUACUCGAUGUUAUUGAUUAUUAUAUGGUAUAUAAAAUGAAUCUGUAUCUUAUA